rnacentral:tRNA from 1 species
UAGCUCAGUCUGGUAGAGCGCUACGUUCGGGACGUAGAGGUCGCAGGUUCGAAUCCUGGC